rnacentral:rRNA from 1 species
UACGAAGGGGGCUAGCGUUGCUCGGAAUCACUGGGCGUAAAGGGUGCGUAGGCGGGUCUUUAAGUCAGGGGUGAAAUCCUGGAGCUCAACUCCAGAACUGCCUUUGAUACUGAAGAUCUUGAGUUCGGGAGAGGUGAGUGGAACUGCGAGUGUAGAGGUGAAAUUCGUAGAUAUUCGCAAGAACACCAGUGGCGAAGGCGGCUCACUGGCUCGAUACUGACGCUGAGGUGCGAAAGCGUGGGGAGCAAACAGG